GCUAAAUCAUCCGAGUUGGACAGUUCAUCACUGCUAACUGUUUAGUGAAUAAAUCCCCUACUUACUUGUAAAAUAUGACUUAAUUUGUCAGAUUUUGGGAUCAAAUAUGGAUUGCUCUGAAUUGCCUCCCAGGCUGUCCACUUGAAGAUCCCCUUACUUCUCCAGAAGAGGGAAGUGAGAGGUCCUGGCCAUGAAAAGGGGUAGGACAGCCAAC